UACGUAGGGGGCAAGCGUUGUCCGGAUUUAUUGGGCGUAAAGAGCGUGUAGGCGGCCAGGUAGGUCCGCUGUGAAAACUCGAGGCUCAACCUCGAGAUGUCGGCGGAAACCAUCUGGCUAGAGUCCGGAAGAGGAGAGUGGAAUUCCUGGUGUAGCGGUGAAAUGCGCAGAUAUCAGGAAGAACACCAGUGGCGAAGGCGGGUCUCUGGACAGUUCCUGACGCUGAGGCACGAAGGCCAGGGGAGCAAACGGG
rnacentral:rRNA from 1 species